rnacentral:rRNA from 1 species
CCUACGGGUGGCAGCAGUGGGGAAUAUUGCACAAUGGGGGAAACCCUGAUGCAGCAACGCCGCGUGGGUGAAGGAGCGUUUCGGCGCGUAAAGCCCUGUCAGCGGGGAAGAAGAAAGACGGUACCCGACCAAGACGCCCCGGCUAACUACGUGCCAGCAGCCGCGGUAAUACGUAGGGGGCGAGCGUUAUCCGGAAUUACUGGGUGUAAAGGGAGCGUAGACGGCGAGGUAAGCCUGAAGUGGAAGCCCGCGGCCCAACCGCGGGACUGCAUUGGGAACUACCGGGCUGGAGUGCCGGAGAGGUAGGCGGAAUUCCUAGUGUAGCGGUGAAAUGCGUAGAUAUUAGGAGGAACACCAGUGGCGAAGGCGGCCUACUGGACGGUGACUGACGCUGAGGCUCGAAAGCGUGGGGAGCAAACAGGAUUAGAUACCCGAGUAGUC